rnacentral:rRNA from 1 species
CAGUCGCCACGGUAAUACGGAGGGGGCUAGCGUUACUCGGAAUUACUGGGCGUAAAGCGUGCGUAGGAGGUGGUUUAAGUCCGUUGUGAAAGCCCUGGGCUCAACCUGGGAAUUGCAGUGGAUACUGGAUCACUAGAGUGUGGUAGAGGAUAGUGGAAUUUCCGGUGUAGCAGUGAAAUGCGUAGAGAUCGGAAGGAACAUCUGUGGCGAAGGCGACUAUCUGGGCCAACACUGACACUGAGGCACGAAAGCGUGGGGAGCAAACAGGAUUAGAUACCCCUGUAGUCCCUGUCUCUUAUAC